rnacentral:rRNA from 1 species
UACGGAGGGGGCUAGCGUUGUUCGGAAUUACUGGGCGUAAAGGGCGCGUAGGCGGCGCGAUAAGUUGGGCGUGAAAGGCCCGGGCUCAACCCGGGGACUGCGCUUGAUACUGUCGCGCUGUGAGUCCGGGAGAGGAUGGCGGAAUUCCCAGUGUAGUGGUGAAAUACGUAGAGAUUGGGAAGAACACCAGUGGCGAAGGCGGCUAUCUGGACGGUUUCUGACGCUAAGACGCGAAAGCGUGGGGAGCAAACAGG